rnacentral:rRNA from 1 species
AUUGAACGCUGGCGGCAUGCUUUACACAUGCAAGUCGAACGAGUGGCGAACGGGUGAGUAAUAGUUCGGAACGUACCGAGUAAUGGGGGAUAACCCAUCGAAAGAUUGGCUAAUACCGCAUAUUAUUGGAGCGGCCGAUAACUGAUGAGCUAGUUGGUGGGGUAAAGGACUACCAAGGCGACGAUCAGUAGCGGGUCUGAGAGGACGAUCCUCCACACGGGGACUGAGACACGGCCCAGACUCCUACGGGAGGCAGCAGUGGGGAAUUUUGCACAAUGGGGGCAACCCUGAUCCAGCCAUGCCGCGUGUAUGAAGAAGGCCUUCGGGUUGUAAAGUACUUUUGUUAGGGAAGCGGUACCUAAAGAAGAAGCACCGGCUAACUACGUGCCAGCAGCCGCGGUAAUUC